GAGCACCAGCCUCCUAAUAGUAACUCUCUGUGCAAACCCUGCUGGGAUGUGACGUCCUUCUCUGACAGAAGUAGUCAUGGGAGUUGCUGAUGGACAGUCACGGUGAAUGUUCCUCAGCAGUCCAAGCAGGAUGUUUUUACAAAUCUCUUGCUGAAAGUCUCAGAUCUGCUGUUUUUCCUCAUGAGAAUUGCAGACGGGAAGGCGGAUCGUUGCAGCUCAAGUUUAAAGCAGCAAGUAGCAAGUCAAGAUCCCUCAGAAGAUAGAUCACCACUUGGAAGGAGCCAUGACACUGAGUCUCUGCGCUUACUCCGCACUCUGGAACGGGCCCUGCUCUUUGGUUCUGCCCCUCUGCAAGCACGAGGCCAGCCUUGA
rnacentral:lncRNA from 1 species